AGUCGGACGGUAACGGGUAAGUACUUGUACUUAUGCUGACGAGUGGCGGACGGGUGAGUAAUGCUUGGGAAUCUGUCUUAUGGAGGGGGAUAACGACGGGAAACUGUCGCUAAUACCGCGUAGAGUCGGGAGACGAAAGUGCGGGACUUAAUGGCCGCAUGCCAUGAGAUGAGCCCAAGUGUGAUUAGGUAGUUGGUGGGGUAAAGGCCUACCAAGCCGACGAUCGCUAGCUGGUCUGAGAGGAUGGCCAGCCACACCGGGACUGAGACACGGCCCGGACUCCUACGGGAGGCAGCAGUGGGGAAUAUUGCGCAAUGGGGGCAACCCUGACGCAGCCAUGCCGCGUGAAUGAAGAAGGCCUUCGGGUUGUAAAGUUCUUUCGGUGGUGAGGAAGGGGAUGUUGUUUAAUAGAUAACAUCAUUGACGUUAACUACAGAAGAAGCACCGGCUAACUCCGUGCCAGCAGCCGCGGUAAUACGGAGGGUGCGAGCGUUAAUCGGAAUAACUGGGCGUAAAGGGCACGCAGGCGGACCUUUAAGUGAGGUGUGAAAUCCCCGGGCUUAACCUGGGAAUUGCAUUUCAUACUGGGGGUCUGGAGUACUUUAGGGAGGGGUAGAAUUCCACGUGUAGCGGUGAAAUGCGUAGAGAUGUGGAGGAAUACCGAAGGCGAAGGCAGCCCCUUGGGGAUGUACUGACGCUGAUGUGCGAAAGCGUGGGGAGCAAACAGGAUUAGAUACCCUGGUAGUCCACGCUGUAAACGGUGUCGAUUUGGGGAUUGGGGUUUAGCCUUGGUGCCCGAAGCUAACGUGAUAAAUCGACCGCCUGGGGAGUACGGCCGCAAGGUUAAAACUCAAAUGAAUUGACGGGGGCCCGCACAAGCGGUGGAGCAUGUGGUUUAAUUCGAUGCAACGCGAAGAACCUUACCUACUCUUGACAUCCAUGGAAUCCUGUAGAGAUACGGGAGUGCCUUUGGGAACCAUGAGACAGGUGCUGCAUGGCUGUCGUCAGCUCGUGUUGUGAAAUGUUGGGUUAAGUCCCGCAACGAGCGCAACCCUUAUCCUUUGUUGCCAGCGACUUGGUCGGGAACUCAAAGGAGACUGCCGGUGAUAAACCGGAGGAAGGUGGGGAUGACGUCAAGUCAUCAUGGCCCUUACGAGUAGGGCUACACACGUGCUACAAUGGCGUAUACAGAGGGUAACCAACCGGUGAUGGGGAGUAAUCUCAAAAAGUACGUCUAAGUCGGAU
rnacentral:rRNA from 1 species